CGUAGGUAACCUGCCUGGUAGCGGGGGGUAACUAUUGAAGACAGCAAUACCGCAUAACAUUGACUAUUGCAUGAUAGUCAAUUGAAAGGUGCAAAUGCACCACUACCAGAUGGACCUGCGUUGUAUUAGCUAGUUGGUGGGGUAACGGCUCACCAAGGCGACGAUACAUAGCCGACCUGAGAGGGUGAUCGGCCACACUGGGACUGAGACACGGCCCAG
rnacentral:rRNA from 1 species